AAAUGAAUCACCUCUACACCACAGUCAGAGACUCAGAGAACAAGUGAUGAAGUGACAAAUCGCCUCCACAGUCACCUCCGUUGAUUGCCGACACCGGCGCCAUCCUCCUCCGUGGUUCCGCCUCCGCCGACAGGAAAAGAAGCCGGGGCAUCUAGUGGACAAACCGGUGUGGACGCACGUUUGAAGGGCUCACUUUAAAAGGUAAUUAGGAGGUCAUGGAUGGCGAUCAAGCGACAAGAUGAUGAACCGAACACUCUUUUUUGAAGCUUCCGCUAUGUUUGAACUUGUUAAUCAGUGUUCCUUUUGUUGUAAUCAAUUUCUUAAACAACAAUAUUACGUUCAACCUUUGUCUUAGUAGACUUAGGAUGUAAUAGUUUUGAAACUUAUGUUAAUUUAACGCCUUUUGGUAUAAAAUAGUAGAGUUAGGAUCCUG